rnacentral:rRNA from 1 species
CAAUAGCGUAUAUUAAAGUUGUUGACAGUUAAAAGCUCGUAGUUUGGAUUUCCGGCGUGAGGGAUCAGUCUGACUUCUAGUCAGUACUUGGUCCUCUCAUGCCGUCCUUGAAUGGUGCAUCCUGGCAUUAAGUUGUCGGGGUGAGAGCCGUUUCAUCGUUUACUGUGAGAAAAUUAGAGUGUUCAAAGCAGGCCUAUGCUCUGAAUAGGUUAGCAUGGAAUAAUAGAAUAGGACUUUGGUUCUAUUUUGUUGGUUUCUAGGACCGAAGUAAUGAUUAAUAGGGACGAGUUGGGGGCAUUCAUAUUCCAUUGUCAGAGGUGAAAUUACUUGGA